CUGCUCAUUUUAGCAGCACAUAUACUAAAAUUAGAAUGAUACAGAGAAGAUUAGCAUGGCCCCUGUGUAAGAAUGACAUACAAAUUCAUGGAGUAUUCCAUAUUUUA
rnacentral:snRNA from 1 species